rnacentral:rRNA from 1 species
CACCUGUUCCCAUUCCGAACACAGUAGUUAAGCCCUCCAGCGCCGAUGGUACUUGGCGGGUGACCGCCUGGGAGAGUAGGUCGCUGCCGGAA